CACGGCACCAACAUCGAAGCAACCCAACACGAAGAGAGGUUGAAAGCAUAACAGGGGUACACUCUUCGAUGCUGGUGGCGCAGCAGCAUGCCAUGGAAUGUUGGAUGUCGGUGUCUCGCAGUUUGUCGGUGGCAUUUUGGUGGACAUGGCAUGUUGGGAGUGAUUUGGGUUAAGCAUCACGAUCCCUUCCAGAUGAAAACCUAUCCACCCGGAACUGGGUCGCGUGCCGUCGGAAAGCAUUUCUCAUGUUUUGCCAACACGCAGCCGCCUUCCGGCGCACGUUCGCCAUUAUAUCCGUGGAUAAUUUCUCCAUAAAGUUGGCCACAAACUAACUGACUGACGUCGGCUGCACGAAAGAUUAAUGGUCAAUUCAUGAAGAUGGAAUUAACUUCCUUGGAUGUUUAUUGCAUGAGAGAUUAGUUUAAAAAAGGAGAAGAUAAAACACUUUGAACAUUUUGCUGUGAAAAAGGUCCAGAACUUUUCAAGGCUACCUUGAUGCAAUGCAGACAACAGAAGAAUUGUUCAAUAAAACAUCCAAAUAUAACAUAAUUAGCCCAUAAUUGAUACCAGCCAGAUGGCCCACUCCA